rnacentral:rRNA from 1 species
GAUGAACGCUAGCUACAGGCUUAACACAUGCAAGUCGAGGGACCGGCGCACGGGUGAGUAACACGUAACCAACCUGCCCUUUACUCGGUGAUAGCCGUUCGAAAGAAAGAUUAAUACCCGAUAUAAAGGAUGGGGAUGCGUUCCAUUAGGUUGUUGGUGAGGUAACGGCCCACCAAGCCUUCGAUGGAUAGGGGUUCUGAGAGGAAGGUACCCCACAUUGGAACUGAGACACGGUCCAAACUCCGACGGGAGGCAGCAGUGGGGAAUAUUGGUCAAUGGGCGUUAGCCUGAACCAGCCAAGUAGCGGGAAGGAUGAAGGCUUAUGGGUCGUAAACUUCUUUUAUAUAAGAAUAUGUAUUAUAUGAAGAAGGACCGGCUAACUCCGUGCCAGCAGCCGCGGUAAUUC